rnacentral:rRNA from 1 species
CGCAUCUGUGCAUGCAGCAUAUCAAUAAGCGGAGGAAAAGAAACUAACAAGGAUUCCCUUAGUAACGGCGAGUGAAGCGGGAAGAGCUCAAAUUUGAAAUCUUCAAGGUUUUACCUUGACGAAUUGUAGUUUAAAGAAGUGUUUUCUGUUGAAGUUUUGGUAAAAGUUCUUUGGAAUAGGACAUCAUAGAGGGUGAGAAUCCCGUAUUUGACCAUUAUUUUCAGCUGUGUGAUACACUUUCAAAGAGUCGGAUUGUUUGGGAAUGCAGUCCAAAAUGGGUGGUAAAUUUCAUCUAAAGCUAAAUAUUGGCGAGAGACCGAUAGCGAACAAGUACCGUGAGGGAAAGAUGAAAAGAACUUUGAAAAGAGAGUUAAACAGUACGUGAAAUUGUCAAAAGGGAAGCGUUUGACACCAGUGUUGUUUUCUCGAAAAUCAAUUAAAAAGAGUUUGAUUUUGUUGUGUAUUGACCUUAACAGCUUGCAUUUCAAUUUUCUUGCUUUUUUUAAUGCACUUUUCGUUUAACAAGUCAACAUCAGUUUCUUUUGUUGUAAAAAGGUCAUUGGAAGGUGGCUUUCUUUUCGGAGAAAGUGUUUAUAGCCUUUGACUCCUGCAAUCGGAGAGACUGAGGUCUGCAGCGUAGAUCCUUCGGGGUUAGAUACAUUUGUGCUAAGUUAUAGCUUUUUAUAGACAACUUGUUGACUAUGAUUAGUCUUGUAGCUUACUCGCUUAUGCUAUUUUACCUACGCUUAGGAUGUUGACACACGCGCGUGCUCG